rnacentral:rRNA from 1 species
GACGUAGGGCGCGAGCGUUGUCCGGAAUUAUUGGGCGUAAAGAGCUCGUAGGCGGUCUGUCGCGUCUGCUGUGAAAUCCCGAGGCUCAACCUCGGGCUUGCAGUGGGUACGGGCAGGCUAGAGUGCGGUAGGGGAGAAUGGAACUCCUGGUGUAGCGGUGGAAUGCGCAGAUAUCAGGAAGAACACCGAUGGCGAAGGCAGUUCUCUGGGCCGUAACUGACGCUGAGGAGCGAAAGCGUGGGGAGCGAACAGG